rnacentral:rRNA from 1 species
GGAUUAGGCAUGCAAGUCGAACGAGGAUAUAUCCUUCGGGAUAUAAGCCGAGUGGCGCAAGGGUGAGUAAUGCAUAGAUUACCUGCCUCUAGGAUAAGGACAACUUUGUGAAAACGAAGCUAAUACUUAAUAAUACAAAAGAAAAUAAUUUUCUUUUGUCAAUGGGAGGGUAGUAAUACCUUUUGCCUGGAGAGGGGUUUAUGUCCUAUCAGCUUGUUGGUGGGGUAAUGGCCUACCAAGGCGAAGACGGGUAGCCGGUCUUAGAGGAUGGUCGGCCACACUGGGACUGAGACACUGCCCAGACUUCUACGGAAGGCUGCAGUCGAGAAUCUUUCGCAAUGCCCGAAAGGGUGACGAAGCGACGCCGCGUGAGUGAGGAAGGCCUUCGGGUUGUAAAGCUCUGUCAGGAGUUAAGAAAUAUAAGUAUGCUAAUACCAUAUUUAUUUGACGAAGGCUCCAAAGGAAGCCACGGCUAACUCUGUGCCAGCAGCCGCGGUAAUACAGAGGUGGCAAGCGUUGUUCGGAAUUAUUGGGCGUAAAGAGCACGUAGGUGGGUUUGUAAGUCAGAUGUGAAAGCCUUCUGUUCAACGGAAGAAUUGCAUCUGAAACUGCGAGUCUUGAGUGUAGGAGGGGAGAAUGGAACUUCUGGUGGAGCGGUGAAAUGCGUAGAUAUCAGAAGGAACACCGGCGGCGAAAGCGAUUCUCUGGCCUAUUACUGACACUCAGUGUGCGAAAGCUAGGGGAGCAAACGGGAUUAGAUACCCCGGUAGUCCUAGCCGUAAACGAUGGGCACUAAGUAGAGGGAAUUACCGAUGUUCUCUCUGCCGUAGCUAACGCAUUAAGUGCCCCGCCUGGGGGAGUACGGCCGC